GACCUCCAUAACAAAGUACCACAGGCUGGGUGGCUCUAGCAACAGCAAUUUAUUUUCUCAAAGUUCUGGAGGCUGAAAGUCCAAGAUCAAGGUUGUUGCUUCUGAGGCCGCUCUCCUUGGCUUACAGAUGGCCGUCUACUCAGUCCAGGAGAUAAUCAAGAGUCUGGCACCCUUUUUGAGUCUAAUAAAAAACAUUUAUAAUCUA